GAUGAACGCUAGCUACAGGCUUAACACAUGCAAGUCGAGGGGCAGCAUGAACUUAGCUUGCUAAGUUUGAUGGCGACCGGCGCACGGGUGAGUAACACGUAUCCAACCUGCCGAUGACUCGGGGAUAGCCUUUCGAAAGAAAGAUUAAUACCCGAUGGCAUAGUUCUUCCGCAUGGUAGAACUAUUAAAGAACUUCGGUCAUCGAUGGGGAUGCGUUCCAUUAGGUUGUUGGCGGGGUAACGGCCCACCAAGCCUUCGAUGGAUAGGGGUUCUGAGAGGAAGGUCCCCCCACAUUGGAACUGAGACACGGUCCAAAACUCCUACGGGAGGCAGCAGUGAGGAAUAUUGGUCAAUGGACGAGAGUCUGAACCAGCCAAGUAGCGUGAAGGAUGACUGCCCUAUGGGUUGUAAACUUCUUUAUACGGGAAUAAAGUGAGGCACGUGUGCCUUUUUGUAUGUACCGUAUGAAUAAGGAUCGGCUAACUCCGUG
rnacentral:rRNA from 1 species